GCCGGCAUAGCUUAAUUGGUAGAGCAACUGACUUGUAAUUAGUAGAUCGAAGGUUCGAAUCCUUCUGCCGGCA
rnacentral:tRNA from 1 species